rnacentral:misc_RNA from 1 species
GAAAUGCGAUAAGUAAUGUGAAUUGCAGAAUUCAGUGAAUCAUCGAAUCUUUGAACGCACAUUGCGCCCGCCAGUAUUCUGGCGGGCAUGCCUGUUCGAGCGUCAUUUCAACCGUCAAGCCCCCGGCUUGUGUUGGGGACCUGCGGCUGCCCGCAGGCCCUGAAAAACAGUGGCGGGCUCGCUGUCACACCGAGCGUAGUAGCAUACAUUCUCGCUCAGGGCGUGCUGCGGGUUCCGGCCGUUAAACGACCUUCAUAACCCAAGGUUGACCUCGGAUCAGGUAGGAAGACCCGCUGAACUUAAGC